AUUGAACGCUGGCGGCAUGCUUUACACAUGCAAGUCGAACGGUAACAGGCCGCAAGGUGCUGACGAGUGGCGAACGGGUGAGUAAUGCAUCGGAACGUGCCCAGUCGUGGGGGAUAACGCAGCGAAAGUUGCGCUAAUACCGCAUACGAUCUAUGGAUGAAAGCGGGGGACCGUAAGGCCUCGCGCGAUUGGAGCGGCCGAUGUCAGAUUAGGUAGUUGGUGGGGUAAAGGCUCACCAAGCCGACGAUCUGUAGCUGGUCUGAGAGGACGACCAGCCACACUGGGACUGAGACACGGCCCAGACUCCUACGGGAGGCAGCAGUGGGGAAUUUUGGACAAUGGGCGCAAGCCUGAUCCAGCAAUGCCGCGUGCAGGAAGAAGGCCUUCGGGUUGUAAACUGCUUUUGUACGGAACGAAACGGUCCUGGUUAAUACCCGGGGCUAAUGACGGUACCGUAAGAAUAAGCACCGGCUAACUACGUGCCAGCCGCCGCCGUAAGAC
rnacentral:rRNA from 1 species